rnacentral:lncRNA from 1 species
CCCCAACCCAGUCUCUGACAAACACUACUGUGGGGUUCAGGCAGGUGGAGUUUCCUGCUUGCCCCUGAAAAGAUUAUACUCACACUGGCCACCCCUACCACCAGGGUACUCACAUCAGAGCUAUACUUCAAAAUCCCUUUUCCUCCUUAAAUCCUGGCUGACAGCCCGCUUUACACUGACUCCCUCCCUGGCUUUCUUUAGGCUCAAGGAUACUGAGGAGAGAUGCAUUUACCACCUAAUGAGGCUCACACUUGUGGAUUCUUCUGCAACCCCCUUGAAAACUGAAGAUGUAUUUUUUUUUUACAAUCUUGCAUGUUUUUUCCCUUUUUUCUUCUUUUUAAAAAUUUUGUUCUAAUUAGUUUUAUAGGACAGCAGAAUGCAUUUUGACACACUGUACAGAAAUAGGGCACAACUUCUCCUUCCUCUGGCUGUACAUGAUGCAGAGUCACACCAGUCAUGCAAUCAUACAUGUAUAUAGGGUAAUAAUGUCCAUCUCAUUCCACUACCCUUCUUACCCCCACAUUCCCCCUCCCCUCACUCCCUUCUGCCCAAUCCAAAGUUCCUCUGUUCUUUUCUAGCCCCUCCCUGCUGAGAGCCAUAGCGGAGUCGAAUGACGAAUGACACAUGGCAUUUUUGCCAGAAGGAGUGGUUGAGAGGUGAUGCCAGCAAGCCAUUGAGAUGAUAAUGGUUAUGUUAAGCUGUGUAUUCAAUUGUAUAUUAGACCCCUGCUGUCCGCCUGCUACUUUGGAGUUCUCACAGGGAUUCCUGAGUUCCCAUUGGUUGGGGAAGUGCCAGAGGAGGGAUUUCCGGUUGGUGGUUCCUGGAGGAGCCGCGUGAUGUUCGGGAGAGUUCCCAGGGAGCGUGGGUGGAGUGUGCUGGUGGAGUUCAGAAAUAAAGUUUGUUCCUGCUUCAGUGGCUCGUGAUUUGUGCCCAGCCAGACCGCGGCACCUCCCCAUUAUGGAUCAGUAUCUGCUUAUCAGAGAAAACAUUCAGCCUUUAGUUUUUUAGGAUUGGCUUAUUUCACUUAGCAUGAUAUUCUCGAACUGCAUCCAUUUACCUGCAAAUGCCAC